rnacentral:rRNA from 1 species
CCUACGGGAGGCAGCAGUAGGGAAUCUUUCACAAUGGGCGAAAGCCUGAUGGAGCAACGCCGCGUGCAGGAUGAAGGCCUUCGGGUUGUAAACUGCUUUUAUAAGCGAGAAAUAUGAUGGUAACUUAUGAAUAAGGAUCGGCUAACUACGUGCCAGCAGCCGCGGUCAUACGUAGGAUCCGAGCAUUAUCCGGAGUGACUGGGUGUAAAGAGUUGCGUAGGUGGCAUAAUAAGUAGCUAGUGAAAUCUGGUGGCUCAACCAUUCAGACUAUUAGCUAAACUGUUAAGCUCGAGACCGUUAGGGGUAACUGGAAUUUCUAGUGUAGGAGUGAAAUCCGUAGAUAUUAGAAGGAACACCAAUAGCGUAGGCAGGUUGCUGGGACGGUUCUGACACUAAGGCACGAAAGCGUAGGGAGCAAACGGGAUUAGAUACCAGUGUAGUC